rnacentral:rRNA from 1 species
UACGUAGGGGGCAAGCGUUGUCCGGAUUUAUUGGGCGUAAAGAGCGUGUAGGCGGCCACACAGGUCAGCUGUGAAAACUCGAGGCUCAACCUCGAGACGUCGGUUGAAACCGUAUGGCUAGAGUCCGGAAGAGGAGAGUGGAAUUCCCGGUGUAGCGGUGAAAUGCGCAGAUAUCGGGAAGAACACCCGUGGCGGAGGCGGCUCUCUGGGACGGUACUGACGCUGAGACGCGAAAGCGUGGGGAGCGAACAGG